CUUGUCAGGGUCCUCUGCAGAGGCGGAGCUUCUUCUCUGACCAAUCCGAGACCCUGUCGCCCGCCUCGGGCCCUCACCACGCCUCCCACACCUUGCCAAUCAGACUGCGGUUGUCAAGGCAACAGCUUGGCGCCAAGGCACGGAGUUGACGUCAACGGAGUCAGUGUUAGGGGCCCCCAAGCAGGGUCUGGAAAAGGGGGAUGGGAUGUGGGUGUGAAGGGAUGCAGCCCCCCCAAAAGAAAUCGAGGUGAAACAGAAAUGCCUACCAAUGAUGGUCCAAUGCAAAACCUAAGAAGAAAGAGAGGGAUAAAGGACAAGCAUAUAUUUGUCUAAAAAACGGGAAAAGGGGAAAAAAAAGGCAUGAAAAAUCGAGGCAAAAACAUAUACGUUGAGGUCUAACCACGAACGAUAAAGGUGGAAGAAAGGAGUUUUCUGCCUGCAACACCCAAGCACUAAGCUCAUUUCCUUAAUAAACGAAGAGCUAUUGGAAACCUACAAGGGACAGACAAAGGCAAACCAAAAAAAGGGGGCAAAAGAGACCGCAAGUCAGAGGACAAUACAAAUGGCUGGAAGAAUCAUGACUUGACUCGGCAUAGCAAAACGCCAACCUGAGAUACCGGGUGAAGGCGGUUUAUGGCAGUGCGCUGAAUCGCAUGCUGUCACCCACCGUUGCGCGAAAUCUACUGCGUAGAAUAGCGAGAAAUUGCGAGGGGAGUGAGCAGGUAGAUUACCAAGCCUGCCUCUCAUAGAAGAAAUUCCUGUCACCGGAAAAAAUAACGGGGUAUCGCUGCCGCAAAGGACCUAGACCGUAAUAGAUGCAAUGAAAUAAAACACGUUGCUGAAGUUUGUACAAACGGAAUGUUGUUGCUUCCGAGUGUACAGUGACAUUUUCCUGAGGCAGUGCGACCUGUGAUACCAUAACAGGCAGAAGGCUCCAGCAGACGAGAAUCCAGCUGUUCCCUCCCAUGUCCGGCACUGAAGAGAGUCGCAGAGAUGUAAAGUGACGCUACCAGUUACAGGUUUCAGUCCAUCAUCGAGGGAAGUCAAAGCAGGAUCUCAAGCAAUUACAUCCACGGCCGCAUCCAUCCAUCAGGUUACAUCCACGGCUGCAUCCAUCCACCAGGUUACAUCCACGGCCGCAUCCAUCCACCAGGUUACAUCCACGGCUGCAUCCAUCCAUCAGGUUACAUCCACGGCUGCAUCCAUCCAUCAGGUUACGUCCACGACUGCAUCCAUCCAUCAGGUUACGUCCACGGCUGCAUCCAUCCAUCAGGUUACGUCCACGGUUAAGAGCAGAGAGAAGUGAAUGCAUAUCCAUGCUGCCUGCUGCAUUUAUCCAGCUUUCUCCAAUCCUGCAGUUCAGGAUCUGCUGCCUAGGGAUUGGUGAUGCUCACAGUGGGGUGGGUCUUCUAUAUCGAAUAAGAAUCAUGACAGUCGUCUCGUAGACAUGCCCACAGAGCAGCUGAGGCUGUCUUCCCAAUUGAUUGAGUUGUGGCAAGGUGACACUUAAAAUUAAACCAUUUCAUUUUUUUCACUUUA